rnacentral:rRNA from 1 species
UGGGGAAUAUUGCGCAAUGGGCGAAAGCCUGACGCAGCGACGCCGCGUGAGGGAUGAAGGUUUUCGGAUCGUAAACCUCUGUUAGAAGGGAAGAAACCGCACUGUGCUAAUCAGCAGUGCCUUGACGGAACCUUCAAAGGAAGCACCGGCUAACUCCGUGCCAGCAGCCGCGGUAAUACGGAGGGUGCAAGCGAUACUCGGAAUUACUGGGCGUAAAGCGCACGUAGGCUGCUUUGUAAGUCAGGGGUGAAAUCCCACGGCUCAACCGUGGAACUGCCUUUGAUACUGCUUAGCUUGAAUCCGGGAGGGGGUGGCGGAAUUCCAAGUGUAGGGGUGAAAUCCGUAGAUAGCUGGAGGAACAUCAGUGGCGAAGGCGGCCACCUGGAACGGUAUUGACGCUGAGGUGCGAAAGCGUGGGGAGCAAACAGG